rnacentral:lncRNA from 1 species
GAAUGUGCAACGUUUGUUUUAGUACACGUUCACCUAAGCUAAGAAGUACAGACGCUUUUGCAUAGAAAUCUGUUUUUCCUGUUCAUCUGAUAUUUUCACCAAGUCUGGACAUCAAUCCAUGGAGUCUUUUCUUUGGAACCCUGUUUUUUGACAGUGAAGUUCUUGUUAAAACCUCUUCAGAUCCUGAAAUGGAUGGUUGCAAGCCACAAUUGCAUUGCAUAACUGACAUGGAGUUUAAAAAAAAAAAAAGUAAUUAGUUUUCUAAUGGUUCAUUUAGCAUCUGCUUGACUUCAGCUAUUGAACUGUUAGGCAAGCUGAUUAAUGUCUUUUAAUUGUCCCUUCCAUUCAGCUUUUCCAUAUCUCUUAUAGAAGGGCAGUCAUGGAGCUUUCCCAUAAGCUAUCAAGUACUCUAAGAGACAGUGACCUCUGGAAGGCCCGCAUGUUUUGUUCAGAGGAGAAACAGAUGUUACUGAGCACUUCUAGCUGACAAAGAGCAUCUCCAUGCUGUGUUUUCCCAAAAAAAAAAUAGCUGCAACGAGCAGCAGGAGACAAAUUCUUGCCUCGUGCUUCCAAACUUUUUUAUAGCCAGUAUUAGCCCCUUAGAAUAUUUUGGUCUUCCCUGGCAUUGUUAAAAAUGACUUCAGUGAUUUUAUCCCUGCUGCUUUCUCUUCUGUCCUGCCAGAAGGAAAUGCUGUUUUUCACACUUGUAGUCACCAAACAAGUAUUUCUAUAAAUAUGUUGUUUGCAUCUUUCCAGGCUUACUCACCUUCAUUUCUCCAGCUACUGAAGUGCUCAGAUGGAGAGCUGCACCCUCCCAGCAAGAAAUGACCUGAGACUCACGAGCGCACUCGUACUUUUCCAUGACCCAGGUCCCUCACUCCCUCUUGGACUUCAGUACACCUCAGGGAGCUGCAGGCCUGGCCUGUUGGGCAACGGGGCUGUGAACCGAUGCUGGUGGGAUUCCUGCAUUGGGCAACAGAGGCGUUAAUCCAACAGUUGGGAGGUGUGGUUGUGAAAGAGCCCAGCCUGGCCCUUAGCACACACCAACAGAAGGAUAUGGAACAACCGCGGAGUUGCACGGAGCUGCAGUUGCACCACUUCCUCCAGUGUGACAGGAUCAGGCUCAAAGGGAUGUUGCCAUGUCUCCCACGUUUUGUUUGUGGUCUCACCUCGCCUUGCUGAGACAGACGUUUUUCACAAAGCCGUGUGCAUUGCCAGGUGGGCUUCCCUCUGUCACCUCUACAACCCUC